UCAAUGCCAGUCUUAUGCAUUACACCAUUCUAAUUAUACCAUCACGUUUACGCAAUUAAGUUUAUGGCGAAUGAUUUCUCGAACAUUCGGGCUAGAGAUUCCCUUCUUCACAAACACAUACACAUACAUAUGACAUUUUGCUUUAAAAGCCCGGACCCGUCGCGAAGCAAACAGUUGUUGUCAGUUUGCCUAAACGUAAAGAAGAGUAAUAGAACUAUAUAACACAAUCUUCCCGUGGCCACAAUUUCGUGCUAAUCGGUCUAAAAAAAAAAACGAAUCCAUCGAGGACCUGCUGAACGAUCUCCGUUUCUUCUGGCGGAUGCAGGGUACGAUGUGUGGCUCGAUAACGCAUGUGGUAACACAUAUUCUCGUGAACAUAGAAAUAAAACAAUCUCGAAGAUUACUGGAACUUCAGUUGGCACGAGAUCGGUACAC